rnacentral:lncRNA from 1 species
UCAAAACGCAGAUUAAAUCAUAAACAUAUAACAAGUAGUUUCAUCAUCAAAAUAUGAGAUUCAACAAUCUCCCCCUUUUUGAUGAUGACAACUACUUGAUGACGGAGUUAAACUUAACUCCCGGAGUUUAAACAAACUCCCCCUAUCAAUAUGCCAUAUUGAUAGAAACUCUUGGAUUCAAAAAUCCAAGCAACAUGUCAU